rnacentral:rRNA from 1 species
ACUAGGGAUCGGGCUGUAGUUUCAAACGUACUCGCUCGGCACCUUAAGAGAAAUCAAAGUUUUUGGGUUCUGGNGNGAGUAUGGUCCCAAGGCUGAAACUUAAAGGAAUUGACGGAAGGGCACCACCAGGAGUGGAGCCUGCGGCUUAAUUUGACUCAACACGGGGAAACUCACCAGGUCCAGACACAGUAAGGAUUGACAGAUUGAGAGCUCUUUCUUGAUUCUGUGA